CCUACGGGAGGCAGCAGUGGGGAAUAUUGCACAAUGGGGGGAACCCUGAUGCAGCGACGCCGCGUGAGUGAAGAAGUAUUUCGGUAUGUAAAGCUCUAUCAGCAGGGAAGAAAGUGACGGUACCUGACUAAGAAGCCCCGGCUAACUACGUGCCAGCAGCCGCGGGAAUACGUAGGGGGCAAGCGUUAUCCGGAUUUACUGGGUGUAGAGGGAGCGCAGACGGCUGUGCAAGUCUGGCGUGAAAGGCGGGGGCCCAACCCGCGGACUGCUCUGGAAACUGUAAAGCUGGAGUGUAGUAGAGGUAAGCGGAAUUCCUGGUGUAGCGGUGAAAUGCGUAGAUAUUAGGAGGAACACCAGUGGCGAAGGCGGCUUACUGGACUGCAACUGACGUUGAGGCUCGAAAGCGUGGGGAGCAAACAGGAUUAGAUACCCGUGUAGUC
rnacentral:rRNA from 1 species